rnacentral:rRNA from 1 species
UACGGAGGGUGCAAGCGUUAUCCGGAUUCACUGGGUUUAAAGGGGGCGUAGGAGGGCAGGUAAGUCAGUGGUGAAAUCUUCGAGCUUAACUCGGAAACUGCCGUUGAUACUAUCUGUCUUGAAUACCGUGGAGAUGAGCGGAAUAUGUCAUGUAGCGGUGAAAUGCUUAGAUAUGACAUAGAACACCAAUUGCGAAGGCAGCUCACAAAACUGUAACUGACACUGAGGCACGAAAGCGUGGGGAGCAAACAGG